CGCCUUAGCCUCUCUUCAAAUGUGUGUGUGUGUGUGUGUGUGUCUGUGUGUGUGUGUGAGAUGACGUGUGUAUGUGUAUCACACGAACACACACACACAUUUACACUGACACGCACGCAAGUACUGGGAGAGAAACGAGCACCUCCUUCGCAGGGAGCUUCAUGGUCUGCCAACUCCUCGAGUGGAUUGUUCCAAAUUAGUAUGCAUUAGGUGGUUAGUGCAAAGCAUUUAAUUAUGCAAGAUGGCACUAAACUGCCUAUGUUAUGAUUAGCCCAACACGUUACACCCUUAAUUCUUCAUUUUUCCCCCUGCUCUGUCUCUCAGUGUGUGGGGGUGGUGGUAGGCUGGUGGAGGAGGAGCAUGCUCUCUUAUUCCCCUUAGAAGCAUCCCUUGUAUCUCUGGAAUUCUCUCUCUAGAAGCAUUUGUUAUAUUUCCUCUCUUUGCGUGUCUCCUUUGUGCGCCCCAUGAUAUUGUUAGAUGAUUUAGAAUUAAGCAGCUUGCUUCUAUGCACGUAUCCUGCUUUGGUUUUUGCUCGACCGCCUUUCAUGGUAGGCAAACCGCAAAAAUCUCGGGCAGUGGCGCUGAGGCACUGUGAGAGCGAGGGAGGCCGUCUGUAGUUGCUGAAGAACCCCAGCAGCUCCCCGGAGGAGCCCAUUAUCCAGAAAAGAUAUCAAACCAUGAAUCAUUUACGCUCGUCCUCCCCGGGCUUCUUCUACCACUGCACACCUUCAUGACGCCCAACUGGCCGGCCACACGCUUUCCCUCUCUCGCUGCAUCUUUAAUAAAUGAUAAUUGAAUUUGAUCAAAAUUGGCUCCGGUAAUUUAUGUAUUAUUGAUUAUCAACAUGUUGCCUCCAUCAUGGAUGAAUGUUUUUUUUGUCACUAGUUAGAAAAUCAAUGGACUGUAAGUCGACUGAUUGUGUAAUGUAUGUCCUGGUGGUGAGUAUUCACACUAACGCUAUUUUACGUCGUAAAUUAUUUUCUUUUUGUGUCAGUGCUUAGUUGUGCACCGUUAAAAUCAUUUUUAGGGCCCAAGCAAGCAGUAUAAAGGCUCUCUUGAAAUUGCGUCAUUCCUUUGUAGAUAUUAUUCUCAGGCCAAAUACAUUUUGAGGGCUUUCCCAUACACAAAACUGCAGGGCAAUUGGCAAAAUUUCUUGGCACCACCCCAUGGAUUUUGUUGUUGUUGUAAAUCUAUCCUCCUCGUUACACUUAGGCCCACCGCACGCCGAGUGAAACGGCUGAAUGUGACUGACCUGGUCAUUCGCGAAAAAAAUACACUCGGCGACUCACAACUGCACACCAGAUGACUGACCCUGUCACUUAUAGCAACCCGCUACAACGGAAAAACUGCAACCCCUUGGCGUUCUUAUUUGGAAGCAAUGUUUUGAGGCGCUUGUAUUAUUUUUGUAUUGAACCACAAACAUAGUACGAUUGUGAAGGAAGAAGCGGAUUGCCCUGGCUGCUGUAGCUCGAUUAGAAUAAUACACAGAGAGGAAACGGGAGAGCUCAAGGAGAGCCUGUCAAUGUUUGAGAGGCUGUUGGCUGCAUUCCUUGACUGCACCCAUGCAUUUUGGUGACAGAAACUCUGCACACUUUGCUUUUUCAGCUACAGUUGCAUGAAAUUAUAUAGUAAUAUUGCAAAACGCUCUAUCUAUCUAUCUAUCUAUCUCUAUCUCUAUCUCUAUCUCUCUCUAUCUCUCUCUCUCUCUCUAUCUCUCUCUAUCUCUCGCUCUCUCUACACACACACUGUAUUGGGUGUGGCUCAGUUGCAGCCAAAUUGUGAAAUUUAUGUGACACGUCACGGCAUUUUUUAUUUUUUAUUAAUUGGCUCUUACAUCUGUGACAUUGCGACAUCUUUUACCUGCAGUUAAAAUUUCAAUUGGCAGCAAAGCUAGUAGCCGACGGUUGGCCACUCAUGAAAACUAGUUGCUCACACACUGCGUGAAAAGUUCAGUCAGCCGCGUCACUGUGUGCGCGACGGGCCUUCGGAACAUGCAAUUUUGAAAAUUGUAAAUUUAAUUUCUACUAUGAAUACACUCACACAGUGAAACAGGAAGUAUAGUAGUGUGGUUUGAAGCGGCCAUUUUAGGUUCAUUUUGUCCAUUUCCAAGGGACCUUUCAAAAACAAACUUGCCCUGUCCUUCAGCUUUUUUCAUCAAUUGCUACUAAAUUUAAACCACAUAUACUUGACAGAUGUGUCACUCAAAAGAAAAAAAAAAAAAGAAAAACGCCAGUGGAUUCAAAGUAGACUGAAUGUCUAAAGAAGUUAAUUAGUGCCUCACUGCUGACAUGAAUGUGUACAUAUAAUCACUCUGCUCUGAUCUGAGCUAAUUCUUUCCUACUCUCUAUACUUGCCUGGAGUCCUCCGUGUAGUAUAUCUCCUGACUUUGAUGGGAGUGGGGAUGCAGUCUUUAUCACAUGUAAUAACUCAUCAGAUAUAAACUCAAUUAAAAGACAAUAUGCAUCUCCAAAUUGAGAUAAAUUAACGAUGACUUCUUUCUGCUAAAACAGUUAACGCUUUGUCUGGAAGAAGAUCAAAGCUAGGGUGAUAGACUGGAAAGCCAUGAUGUGACAAUGAUGUCAAUGCAUCACCAGAAACUUACAAAGCGCCCCGUUAGCUUGCUAUGCUGUCAUCACUGUGCUGCCCACAGCCUUUAGGAAGCCUAUUUUUGUGGUAUCUGGAUCGCUGUGACAUUCUAUGGUGGCUAUUUCCCACUGUAAUUCACGCAGGUAGGCGGCGUGUUUGCAUAAUGGUUAGCACUGUGUUUUGUAGGACGUAUCUGUACACCAGGGCAUAUAAUACCAUGUAUUUGGUUUUAUUUUUUAUCAUACUUUCUCCUAUGUAUGACACAUCAGACUAUGUAAUUCCUUUGUAACAUAUUUGGUACACAGACAGAUGUCAUAUUGCAUUAAUUUCCUUGUUUCUCAAUCAAUAUCAUUGCAAUACAGUAAUACCCACUUUUUGCGGUGGGUAGGGACCUAGCCCUGGUGCGGAUAAAAUAGAAAAUAGAAUGGAAAAAAACGCAAGCAAUUGAAGGAAUGUGACUGACCUGGUCAAUCGUGAAAAAAAAUACAGUUGGCAACUCACAACUGCACACCAGGCGACUGACCCUGUAACUUAUACCAACUCGCUGCAACGGAAAAACUGCAACCCCUUGAUGUUCUUAUUGGGAAGCAAUGUUUUGAGGCACUUGUAUUAUUUUUGUAUUGAACCACAAACAUAGUACGAUUGUGAAGGAAGAAGCGGAUUGCCCUGGCUGCUCUAGCUCGAUUUUAAUAACACAAAGAGAGGAAACGGGAGAGAUAAAGGAGAGCCUGUCAAUGUUUGAGACGCUGUUGGCUGCAUUCCUUGACUGUACUGGACUGUAUUUUGGCGACAGAGACUCUCCAUUCUUCGGUUUUUUACAGCUAGUGAUGGGACGCACAACACUGGCACGUCAGCACUGUGCCGAGCACACAAGAGUGAAACCCCGUAUUGGUGCGUGUAUCGCUUUAAGAAAAAAAAAAUCAUGUGACCUAUACAGGAAGUGUGUCGUUUGGAUGUGCCGCGCCAAGUUGUGUUUAUAAGGAAACAAACUGUGUCGACAUGUUGCGGAUUUGUUGGAUGGAGUUUUGCUGUUACUGUUGUAUUUUGGAUUUUUGCUUGCCCUCACCUUGUUCCACUGACUUCAUGGAUCGUUCCAAGAAGUUUUCCCCAGUCUGGAAUAAUUUUGAUCUUUUGAUGCCAAAUAAGUGUCGGCUCUGCUCCACAGAGCUAUCUUACAUCAAUAAGAACACUUCAUCAAUGCUCAGGCAUUAUAGAGCUCGGCAUGGCAAUGAAGAAUGGGCAGAUACUCGUGUGAGUACCCCAGUUCCUAACAAGCAAGCAGUGGAUGAGGCUGUGGUCAACAUGAUCAUCAAACACUGUCAGCCACUCACUAUUGUUGACAAUGAGGGAUUCAGGGAGCUCCUGAAGUUUAUCAACUCACACUUAAAUUUUUAUGCUCACCAUCUUCAUCUGUACCCUGUGAGAGUUUUUUUCUAAGGCAGGGGAACUGGUGUCUAAGAGGAGAAAUCGCCUUGGAGCAAAGACGCUUCAAAAACGUUUGUUCCUCAAUAAAAAUGCAUAAAUCCA